AUUGAACGCUGGCGGCAGGCCUAACACAUGCAAGUCGAGCGGAGCGGCGGACGGGUGAGUAAUGCCUAGGAAUCUGCCUGGUAGUGGGGGAUAACGUCCGGAAACGGACGCUAAUACCGCAUACUAUCAGAUGAGCCUAGGUCGGCUUAGCUAGUUGGUGGGGUAAAGGCCUACCAAGGCGACGAUCCGUAGCUGGUCUGAGAGGAUGAUCAGUCACCUUGGAACUGAGACCCGGUCCAGACUCCUACGGGAGGCAGCAGUAGGGAAUAUUGGACAAUGGGCGAAAUCCUGAUCCAGCCAGGCCGCGUGUGUGAAGAAGGUCUUCGGAUUGUAAAGCACUUUUGGUUGGGAAGCGUUACCAACAGAGUAAGCACCGGCUAACUUCGUGCCAGCCGCCGCGGUAAUUC
rnacentral:rRNA from 1 species